rnacentral:rRNA from 1 species
GAGUUUGAUCCUGGCUCAGAACGAACGCUGGCGGCAGGCCUAACGCAUGCAAGUCGAGCGGCCGUAGCAAUACGGCAGCGGCGCACGGGUGAGUAACGCGUGGGAACCUACCCUUUGGUUCGGAACAACCCUGGGAAACUAGGGCUAAUACCGGAUGAUCCCCGAGAGGGGGAAAGAUUUAUCGCCGAAGGAGGGGCCCGCGUCCGAUUAGCUAGUUGGUGAGGUAAGAGCUUACCAAGGCGACGAUCGGUAGCCGGUCUGAGAGGACGAUCGGCCACACUGGGACUGAGACACGGCCCAGACUCCUACGGGAGGCAGCAGUGGGGAAUAUUGGACAAUGGGCGCAAGCCUGAUCCAGCCAUGCCGCGUGGAUGAUGAAGGCCUU